GACAGGCAACGAGAGGCGGUCGUGGCGGUGUUGCUGGAGGGGAUGCCCGUCUCGGAGGUUGCCAGACGCAUGGGCAUCAACCAGAAUGCCCUCUAUAAGUUACUGCACGAUGCCCGCAGGAAGCUGAAGAGGCAGAUGGAGGUCGCGGGCCUCUCGCCACAAGAAGUGCUGGCUGUAUUUGAGGAGGGGUAAGAUCCGGAGGGUGUGACGGGUCUAGUAGUUAGGAGCUAGCAAGGGGUUCAUUGUGUUGCUGAAGCGGGGUGAUGUAGUCAAUUUGGUUAGGGCUGUAUCCGAGACUCACGAGGUCGAGAUCGGCUGCGACGAGUGUUUCGAGCGGUUGGAUAGUUUUGCGGAGACGGAGCUCUCCGGGGUGGAGGCUAGUGCCGCGAUGCCGCUGGUAGGGGAUCA
rnacentral:misc_RNA from 1 species